GCUUGAGUUAUGUGAUUGUGUGAAGUUCAAACGGUCCCUUACGUCUCCAUGUCCUUAUUAGUCUACGUGAGAGACGCAGACUGCUGCCAUCAGUAUCAGAUUCAUCCAAUUCCAAGACUCCAAUAGCUAUUUCUGAGAACUGUAAGAUGAUAGUGCAUCCCACCCUAUGUUCCUUCAUCACUUUACCCCUACCUCAUCUCUCUCCCCUUUCAUAGUUUUCCCUGUCUCUAUUUCUUUCCUCUGUCUUUUUCCCAAGCCACACUUAAGGUUGGAUCUAUAAUUAGCAAGGGGCCUUCAGCAGUAUAUAAGCCGCCCAGGAACAAGUCACUACACGGCUUCAGUCUUCACUUCUUGAGCUUCUUAGACUUCACACAUACCGUCUCAGCAUGUCACCCAAGAAGGCCAAGAGGAGGGCAGGAGGAGGAGAGGGUUCCUCCAAUGUCUUCUCCAUGUUUGAGCAGAGCCAGAUUCAGGAGUACAAAGAGGUAAAUAUUUUUUCAGAUCUUAUAAUGUUCACCUGUACUUACACUUUCAUUAUGGGAUUGAUUUAAUUUUUAACACAAUACAACAAGCAUACCAAUUUACCUGUGUCAGAUACAUUGGUACUUAAUAGACGUCAUAUUUUUAGGUCAUUUAUAUUGGGAGGAAAAUGAAUAAAUAAAUAAAUUAUAUAUAUAUGUGUGUGUGUGUGUGUAGUUACAUUCUAUCACUUUAUUAUGUAUUAUCAAACUCCAAAUGAGAUUGCUGGGGGUAAAUGUUACCAGACAUCAGUUCAGUGCAACAAAUUACCACUGCGACUUAUCACAGAGGUUGCUUCUGAACUGGAAUUCUAAUGCUAAUAUAAUAAAAUUUUGUUAUCAGGUCAAAACUUAUCUAUGUUAAGGCUUGUUUGAUGGUCAGUACAGCAACUGGACUGAGUCAGCAGAUCAACACCAUCUAGUCUUUUUGUCUUGUCUGCUAAUAUCCCAAAAAAGAGCCGCUUCUCUGCCCUCCCAUCUGUCAGGCAUUUCUGAUCCCAAUGGGAUGGCAGCUGAAGAUCAUAGUGCAUGCCAGAAGAACAGAAAGAGAUCAUGUGAAAUAUAUGAUGAACAAAAUAAAGGAGAAAGGAAAAUGGAAAUAAAGCAUAGUUUAAGGGUAGUUGCAGGAAAGGAACAUUAAAUGCGUAUUAGAAUUCUGAGUGGACCUUGAAAUGACAGAUAAUGCACAAAAGACCAGAAAAAAAAACUGAUUUACCAGUUGACCAUACUUUCGGUUCUUAAACAUUGUGAUUACUCUAAAUUAAUAUAAUUAUCUCAGACACUAAGUAAAAAAGUAUGUACGUACAUGCUAAAUGGGUGAGGUGACUGGAAUUAGCGUCAGGCUAGUGCGAGUGAGCUAAGUAAGGAUGUGAAGUGGUUUGAAUGGUUUAUUAAUAAAUGAUACAGCCUUCUCAAG
rnacentral:lncRNA from 1 species